GAUUUCAUUUGAAAAAGCCAUCGAUAACAAAGUUGUAUAACUCAUGAAGAUUUAUAACUUUUAUUUUGAUCAUUUCUUCAUCUGAUAAAGUGAUUCGGAAAACUGUUUAUAAAAUAUACAUCCUUAUAUAGUUUUCAUACAACUAUACGAGAGAUAUACAUUUUAUAAACAAUCUUGCAAAUCACUUUGUCCGAUGAAGAAAUGACCAAAAUAAAAGUUAUAGAUCUUGAUGAGUUAAACAACUUUGUUAUUGAUGACUUUUUCAGUUGAAAUU
rnacentral:pre_miRNA from 1 species